rnacentral:pre_miRNA from 1 species
CCUCGUAGCAGUGUUCUGGAAUCCUAUGUGAGGGACAAGGAUUCAGACCACAGCAGCAGUGUUCUGGAAUCCUAUAUGAGGGA